ACGGGAGGCAGCAGUGGGGAAUAUUGCACAAUGGGGGAAACCCUGAUGCAGCGACGCCGCGUGAGUGAAGAAGUAUUUCGGUAUGUAAAGCUCUAUCAGCAGGGAAGAAAAUGACGGUACCUGACUAAGAAGCCCCGGCUAACUACGUGCCAGCAGCCGCGGUAAUACGUAGGGGGCAAGCGUUAUCCGGAUUUACUGGGUGUAAAGGGAGCGUAGACGGCGAUGCAAGUCUGAUGUGAAAUUCCGGGGCUCAACCCCGGCACUGCAUUGGAAACUGUGUUGCUAGAGUGCAGGAGAGGUAAGUGGAGUUCCUAGUGUAGCGGUGAAAUGCGUGGAUAUUAGGAGGAACACCAGUGGCGAAGGCGGCUUACUGGACUGUAACUGACGUUGAGGCUCGAAAGCGUGGGGAGCAAACAGGAUUAGAUACCCUGGUA
rnacentral:rRNA from 1 species